rnacentral:misc_RNA from 1 species
AGCAAAGCAACUCGCGAACACGUAGUCAACACUCGGGGAUCCGAGCGCGUCCUCCCCGGGGGACGCCCUCUCUCCCCAAAGUCGGGGCGGCCCGGCGCUCGUUGCUCGCAGGCGGCGCGAUCGUCGCGAGCUAACGGCCUCCGGGCCUUCCCGACGCAACAAAAAACCGGCGCGGAAUGCGCCAAGGAAUAUGAAAGAGAGUGCGCUCUUCCGGCGUCAGCUCGCGCUGCGCUCGGACGGGCGUCGUCUUCUKGAUGAGUUUAUAAUGACUCUCGGCAACGGAUAUCUCGGCUCUUACAUCGAUGAAGAACGUAGCAAAAUGCGAUACUUGGUGUGAAUUGCAGAAUCCCGUGAACCAUCGAGUCUUUGAACGCAAGUUGCGCCCGAAUCCAUCUGGUUGAGGGCACGUCUGCCUGGGUGUCACGUACACGCGCCUCCCGCGAACCUUCCCCUUUUAUGCGGACGAAGGGUCUCGCGGGAGCAGAUGUUGGUAUCCCGUGCCUGUUUCGCGCGGCUUGCCUAAAAACGGAGAUCCGGCGACGAAACGUCGCGUCUAGUGGUGGUUGUUGAGGCCUAACGGCCGAACCAGUUCGCGGCGCGAUCGUUUGUCUUAAGAAAGUCUCGGACGACACCACGGACGCCCCUUAACGGGCGUGCUACUGUCGCGACCCCA